rnacentral:rRNA from 1 species
UGGGGAAUCUUGGACAAUGGGCGCAAGCCUGAUCCAGCCAUGCCGCGUGAGUGAAGAAGGCCUUCGGGUUGUAAAGCUCUUUUACCAGGGACGAUAAUGACGGUACCUGGAGAAUAAGCCCCGGCAAACUUCGUGCCAGCAGCCGCGGUAAUACGAAGGGGGCUAGCGUUGUUCGGAAUUACUGGGCGUAAAGCGCACGUAGGCGGAUUGUUAAGUCAGAGGUGAAAUCCCGGAGCUCAACUUCGGAACUGCCUUUGAUACUGGCAAUCUAGAGUCCGGAAGAGGUUAGUGGAAUUCCCAGUGUAGAGGUGAAAUUCGUAGAUAUUGGGAAGAACACCAGUGGCGAAGGCGGCUAACUGGUCCGGUACUGACGCUGAGACGCGAAAGCGUGGGGAGCAAACAGGAUUAGAUACCCCCGUAGUCCCUGAGCGGGCUGGCAAGGCGCAU